rfam:Triticum aestivum genome assembly, contig: Triticum_aestivum_CS42_TGACv1_scaffold_147921_2BS
UUUGUACUCCCUCCAUCCGGAAAUACUUGUCGGAGAAAUGGAUGUAUCUAGAUGUAUUUUGGUUCUAGAUACAUCCAUUUUUAUGCAUUUCCGCGACAAGUAUUUCCGGAGGGAGGGAGUACAAC